rnacentral:rRNA from 1 species
GUUGGGCACUAGGUGUGGGGGACAUUCCACGUUUUCCGCGCCGUAGCUAACGCAUUAAGUGCCCCGCCUGGGGAGUACGGCCGCAAGGCUAAAACUCAAAGGAAUUGACGGGGGCCCGCACAAGCGGCGGAGCAUGCGGAUUAAUUCGAUGCAACGCGAAGAACCUUACCAAGGCUUGACAUGGACUGGAAAUACCUGGAAACAGGUGCCCCGCUUGCGGCCGGUUCACAGGUGGUGCAUGGUUGUCGUCAGCUCGUGUCGUGAGAUGUUGGGUUAAGUCCCGCAACGAGCGCAACCCUCGUUCUAUGUUGCCAGCACGUGAUGGUGGGGACUCAUAGGAGACUGCCGGGGUCAACUCGGAGGAAGGUGGGGACGACGUCAAAUCAUCAUGCCCCUUAUGUCUUGGGCUUCACGCAUGCUACAAUGGCCGGUACAAAGGGUUGCGAUACUGUGAGGUGGAGCUAAUCCCAAAAAGCCGGUCUCAGUUCGGAUUGGGUCUGCAACUCGACCCCAUGAAGUCGGAGUCGCUAGUAAUCGCAGAUCAGCAACGCUGCGGUGAAUACGUUCCCGGGCCUUGUACACACCGCCCGUCAAGUCACGAAAGUUGGUA